UACGUAGGGUGCGAGCGUUAAUCGGAAUUACUGGGCGUAAAGCGUGCGCAGGCGGUUCGUUAAGACAGAUGUGAAAGCCCCGAGCUCAACUUGGGAACUGCAUUUGAAACUGGCGGGCUGGAGUGUGGCAGAGGGGGGUGGAAUUCCGCGUGUAGCAGUGAAAUGCGUAGAGAUGCGGAGGAACACCGCUGGCGAAGGCAGCCCCCUGGGCUAGCACUGACGCUCAGGCACGAAAGCGUGGGGAGCAAACAGG
rnacentral:rRNA from 1 species